rnacentral:rRNA from 2 species
GAUGAACGCUGGCGGCGUGCCUAACACAUGCAAGUCGAGCGAGGGUUUGCUCAGUAUUGAGUAUUCUAAGAUUAGAAUAUUCAAUUCUGAGCAAAACCAAGCGGCGGACGGGUGAGUAACGCGUGGGUAACCUGCCCUAUACACAUGGAUAACAUACUGAAAAGUUUACUAAUACAUGAUAAUAUAUAUUUGCGGCAUCGCAGAUAUAUCAAAGUGUUAGCGGUAUAGGAUGGACCCGCGUCUGAUUAGCUAGUUGGUGAGAUAACUGCCCACCAAGGCGACGAUCAGUAGCCGACCUGAGAGGAUGAACGGCCACAUUGGAACUGAGACACGGUCCAAACUCCUACGGGAGGCAGCAGUGGGGAAUAUUGCACAAUGGGGGGAACCCUGAUGCAGCGACGCCGCGUGAGCGAAGAAGGUUUUCGAAUCGUAAAACUCUGUCCUAUGAGAAGAUAAUGACGGUAUCAUAGGAGGAAGCCCCGGCUAAAUACGUGCCAGCAGCCGCGGUAAUACGUAUGGGGCGAGCGUUGUCCGGAAUUAUUGGGCGUAAAGGGUACGUAGGCGGUUUUUUAAGUCAGGUGUGAAAGCGUGAGGCUUAACCUCAUUAAGCACUUGAAACUGGAAGACUUGAGUGAAGGAGAGGAAAGUGGAAUUCCUAGUGUAGCGGUGAAAUGCGUAGAUAUUAGGAGGAAUACCGGUGGCGAAGGCGACUUUCUGGACUUUUACUGACGCUCAGGUACGAAAGCGUGGGGAGCAAANNGG